rnacentral:rRNA from 1 species
UACAGAGGGUGCGAGCGUUGUUCGGAAUUAUUGGGCGUAAAGGGCGCGUAGGCGGUGCGGUAAGUCACCUGUGAAAUCUCCCGGCUCAACCGGGAGCUUGCAGGCGAAACUGCCGUGCUGGAGUGUGGGAGAGGUGCGUGGAAUUCCCGGUGUAGCGGUGAAAUGCGUAGAGAUGGGGGAGAACACUCGUGGCGAAGGCGGCCAGCUAGACCAGUUCUGACACUGAGGCGCGACAGCGUGGGGAGCAAACAGG